rnacentral:rRNA from 1 species
UACGUAGGGUGCGAGCGUUGUCCGGAAUUAUUGGGCGUAAAGAGCUCGUAGGCGGUCUGUCGCGUCGGUCGUGAAAACUUGGGGCUUAACCCUGAGCUUGCGGUCGAUACGGGCAUGACUGGAGUUCGGCAGGGGAGACUGGAAUUCCUGGUGUAGCGGUGAAAUGCGCAGAUAUCAGGAGGAACGCCGGUGGCGAAGGCGGGUCUCUGGGCCGAUACUGACGCUGAGGAGCGAAAGCGUGGGGAGCGAACAGG